GACAGACAUCACCAACUUUUAUCAUCCAUCUGCAGACAGACAAUAGGGUUUGCUGUCAUGACAACCUGUGGACGGUGAAAAGGUGUCACGCGUGAGGACUCGCCUGAGGACAGACAUCACCAACUUUCAUCAUCCAUCUGCAGACAAGGCAAUUGAGGUAGCUUCAACUGCAGUGGAUGUGAGGACAGCUUUGCAGGUUCCUGCAUCUCCAAGACUGAUCGUCCUAGGUGAUGUUCUCUCCACGUGCCGUGUAUGGAGGGCUAGGCGGUCAUGGGUCCACACCAGCAUAUCGUGGCUGGACUGGCGGCACUCUUCACGUCCUAUGUGCUGAACCUGGUUUACCAACAGGAGGCCUCAAACGCACUGCAGUUCAU